rnacentral:lncRNA from 1 species
UCUCUUUCAGAUCUAAUAAUCUCCAAAACUAUGGACUUACAGCACAUAAGAAACUGCAUAGAUAUAAACUCCAGCAAAGCCCUGCAUUGGAUACUCAGCCCAACAUGUUUUUGCAUAUCAUCCUCUGACAUAUGCUAUGUUUCAAGAAAUGACCAACAAAGGGAGACCAAAUAGAGUAUCUUCUGAGAUUUUAUGGAAGUGGCACCUUCAAUCAAAGUCUGGUUGUGGGAAGUGAGGGAGAAAUUGCAGUAUACAAGCUUUAACUACUUGAAGAAUAUUUUCAUUUCAUCUAUCAGAAACCCUUGUGUCAAGAUAAUUUAUUUGACUCGACUUUCAGGAAUUCAGCAUCAUAGCUAUAUUCAUGUGAAUAAAUCCAGAGUUCUUUCAGAUUCUAACCAGCCAAGUAUGGGAAAACAGAAAAUGGUGAUAUUUAACAUUUCAAAUUUAUCAUACAGGAAGCCUAUCAUGUGCAUCUGAAGGGAGAGUUUUCAGAUGGAAAUUGUUGAUAAGUAAUUCCUUCAAAUUAAUCAUACUUGAGAAAGAAACAGAACCUGGAUUCUCAACAUACUGUUUUAAACCAGCCAAUUUAUAUCAGCAUCUCCCAGGUAUGUAUUACAUGGAUAUUUCCAAGGGUAAAGAAGGCAUGUGUCACCUCUCAAUGUGCAGGCAAUUGCACAU